CCUACGGGGGGCAGCAGUGGGGAAUAUUGCACAAUGGGGGAAACCCUGAUGCAGCAACGCCGCGUGGGUGAAGGAGCGUUUCGGCGCGUAAAGCCCUGUCAGCGGGGAAGAAGAAAGACGGUACCCGACCAAGAAGCCCCGGCUAACUACGUGCCAGCAGCCGCGGUAAUACGUAGGGGGCGAGCGUUAUCCGGAAUUACUGGGUGUAAAGGGAGCGUAGACGGCGAGGUAAGCCUGAAGUGGAAGCCCGCGGCCCAACCGCGGAACUGCAUUUGAAACUGUUUUUCUUGAGUGCUGGAGAGGCAAUCGGAAUUCCGUGUGUAGCGGUGAAAUGCGUAGAUAUACGGAGGAACACCAGUGGCGAAGGCGGAUUGCUGGACAGUAACUGACGCUGAGGCGCGAAAGCGUGGGGAGCAAACAGGAUUAGAUACCCUUGUAGUC
rnacentral:rRNA from 1 species